rnacentral:rRNA from 1 species
GUUAGGAAUAUUGGACAAUGGGCGCAAGCCUGAUCCAGCCAUGCCGCGUGAACGAUGAAGGCCUUCGGGUUGUAAAGUUCUUUAGCCGAUGAUUAUAAUGACUGUAGUCGGAAAAUAAGCCCCGGCUAACUUCGUGCCAGCAGCCGCGGUAAUACGAAGGGGGCGAGCGUUAUUCGGAAUCACUGGGCGUAAAGCGUGCGUAGGCGGUCUCGUAAGUUAGGAGUGAAAGCCCAGGGCUCAACCUUGGAAUUGCUCUUAAAACUGCAAGGCUAGAAUCUCGGAGAGGAUAGCGGAAUUUCCAGUGUAGCAGUGAAAUGCGUAGAUAUUGACAGAAACACCAGUGGCGCAAGCGGCUAUCUGGACCGAUAUUGACGCUGAGGCACGAAAGCGUGGGGAGCAAACAGGAUUAGAAACCCUAGUAGUCC